CCUACGGGAGGCAGCAGUGAGGAAUAUUGGUCAAUGGCCGAGAGGCUGAACCAGCCAAGUCGCGUGAGGGAAGACGGCCCUACGGGUUGUAAACCUCUUUUGUCGGGGAGCAAAGCGCGUCACGGGUGACUCAUUGAGAGUACCCGAAGAAAAAGCAUCGGCUAACUCCGUGCCAGCAGCCGCGGUAAUACGGAGGAUGCGAGCGUUAUACGGAUUUAGUGGGUUUAAAGGGUGCGCAGGCGGAGGUGCAAGUCAGCGGUCAAAUUGCGGGGCUCAACCCCGUACUGCCGUUGAAACUGCAUCCCUUGAGUGCGCGAGAAGUAUGCGGAAUGCGUGGUGUAGCGGUGAAAUGCAUAGAUAUCACGCAGAACUCCGAUUGCGAAGGCAGCAUACCAAGCUACUUCUGACGUUGAGGCACGAAAGCGUGGGGAGCAAACAGGAUUAGAUACCCCAGUAGUC
rnacentral:rRNA from 1 species